rnacentral:rRNA from 1 species
GUGAGGAAUUUUCCGCAAUGGGCGAAAGCCUGACGGAGCAAUGCCGCGUGAAGGAUGAAGGCCUAUGGGUUGUAAACUUCUUUUCUCAGAAAAGAAUUAUGACGGUAUCUGAGGAAUAAGCAUCGGCUAACUCUGUGCCAGCAGCCGCGGUAAGACAGAGGAUGCAAGCGUUAUCCGGAAUGAUUGGGCGUAAAGCGUCUGUAGGUUGUUUAAAAAGUAUUCUGUCAAAGAUUAGGGCUUAACCCUAGAUAGGCAGAAUAAACUUUUAAGCUAGAGUUUGGUAGAGGCAGAGGGAAUUCCCGGUGGAGCGGUGAAAUGCGUAGAUAUCGGGAGGAACACCAAAGGCGAAGGCACUCUGCUGGGCCAAUACUAACACUGAGAGACGAAAGCGAGGGGAGCAAAUGGGAUUAGAAACCCCUGUAGCC